AACGAACGCUGGCGGCAUGCCUAACACAUGCAAGUCGAACGAGACCUUCGGGUCUAGUGGCGCACGGGUGCGUAACGCGUGGGAACCUGCCCUUAGGUUCGGAAUAACUCCCCGAAAGGGGUGCUAAUACCGGAUAAUGUCUUCGGACCAAAGAUUUAUCGCCUUUGGAUGGGCCCGCGUUGGAUUAGCUAGUUGGUAAGGUAAAAGCCUACCAAGGCGACGAUCCGUAGCUGGUCUGAGAGGGUGAUCAGCCACACUGGAACUGAGACACGGCCCAGACUACUACGGAAGGCAGAAGUAGGGAAUAUUCCGCAAUGGGGGAAGGCCUGACGGAGGAACGCCGCGUGAGUGAUGAAGGUCUUCGGAUCGUAAAACUCUGUUAUUAGGGAAGAAAAAAUGUGUAAGUAACUAUGCACGUCUUGACGGUACCUAAUCAGAAAGCCACGGCUAACUACGUG
rnacentral:rRNA from 1 species